rnacentral:rRNA from 1 species
CGGACGGGUGAGUAAUGUAUGGGGAUCUGCCUGAUGGCGGGGGAUAACUACUGGAAACGGUAGCUAAUACCGCAUAAUGUCUGCGGACCAAAGCGGGGGACCUCCGGGCCUCGCGCCAUCAGAUGAACCCAUAUGGGAUUAGCUUGUAGGUAAGGUAACGGCUUACCUAGGCGACGAUCCCUAGCCGGUCUGAGAGGAUGAUCAGCCACACUGGGACUGAGACACGGCCCAG